GGGAACUGUGCAGCACUAUCGUAGAAGCCUAAGUCUUGGCGUGAUCAGUUCGCGGAUAAAAAUGGAGUUUCAAAAGUCGUAUAAUUAUCCCAAAUUAAUGUUGGGUGCCGAACGCACCAAUAGCUGCAUAUGUGAUCGCAAGAGGGAAAAUGUUAUUGUCUGUAGCCGCUGCAAGCAGACGUUUGUAGGCCGCCUUUCGCAACGCUGCCCAAAACAUCCAGAAGUGACUUUUCUAAUGGACGCCCGUCAAUGCGCUUUCUGCGGAGCUCAUGCUAAUUUCUUGCAGGUCUCUGAGACUUAAAAGUAAUAUAAAUUUCCUAGCAAAGCAAGUGGUUUUCGUUGACGAAAACUGCAAUGUAACGUAGUCCGUACAUAAGGAAAUACAUAAACAUUGGGUAAUUGUAGCAAUACAUAAAUAAGCAGAGCUCUUUGUAAACUAUUUGUUUUAUUUGUAUGCUUUUUCAUUUGUAAUGGACGAAAUUGCGUUGUAUAGUUUUGGUCACUGAUCUGCGCUUUUAGAAGUGUCACGUUUCGCAACAC